CAGAACCAUGGGCAUUGAAGAUGAAAUCACGGCGAAACAGAGACGAAAUGAGAUGGGGAUGAAACUGAGACGGAGACAAAAUCAAGACAGCCUAACAGAUAUGAAACCGGCAACCAGUUGCGGUCCACAGUCGACAGACCAGCGACGACAAAGAUGGUGGAUGAUUAUGGCUGUGAUGGUGAUAGAAGCACCUGUAAUGGCGUUCGACUGGGAGUCGGGUGCAAGAGAGUUUAGG
rnacentral:lncRNA from 1 species